rnacentral:rRNA from 1 species
UACGUAGGGACCAAGCGUUGUUCGGAUUUACUGGGCGUAAAGGGCGCGUAGGCGGCAAUUCAAGUCAGCUGUGAAAUCUCCGGGCUUAACUCGGAACGGUCAGCUGAUACUGCUUUGCUAGAGUGCAGAAGGGGCAAUCGGAAUUCCUGGUGUAGCGGUGAAAUGCGCAGAUAUCAGGAGGAACACCGGUGGCGAAGGCGGCACUCUGGGCCGGAACUGACGCUGAGGAGCGAAAGCGUGGGGAGCGAACAGG